rnacentral:rRNA from 1 species
AGCGAAACCGCGAGGUGGAGCAAAACUAUAAAAGACGAUCUCAGUUCGGACUGCAGGCUGCAACUCGCCUGCACGAAGUUGGAAUUGCUAGUAAUCGUGGAUCAGCAUGCCACGGUGAAUACGUUCCCGGGUCUUGUACACACCGCCCGUCACACCAUGGGAGCCGGUAAUACCCGAAGUCAGUAGUCUAACCGCAAGGAGAGCGCGGCCGAAGGUAAAACUGGUGAUUGGGGUGAAGUCGUAACAAGGUAUC